rnacentral:misc_RNA from 1 species
GGAAGUAAAGUCGUAACAAGGUCUCCGUUGGUGAACCAGCGGAGGGAUCAUUACAGGGUUGCAAAACUCCCAAACCAUUGUGAACGUUACCUAUCCCGUUGCUUCGGCGGGCGGCCCGGGCCCCGCGCCCGGCGCCCCCCGGCCCCCCGUGGGCGCCCGCCGGAGGUAAACCAAACCCUUGAAUUGCAUGGCCUCUCUGAGUCUUCUGUACUGAAUAAGUCAAAACUUUCAACAACGGAUCUCUUGGUUCUG